rnacentral:rRNA from 1 species
AUUGAACGCUAGCGGGAUGCUUUACACAUGCAAGUCGAACGAGUGGAGGACGGGUGAGUAAUAUAACGGAACGGGACCAGUAGCGGGGGAUAACUAACCGAAAGAGUGGCUAAUACCGCACACUAUUGGAGAGGCCGAUAUAGGAUUAUCUAGUUGUUGGGGUAAAGGCUCACCAAGGAAACGAUCCGUAGCGGGUUUGAGAGGACGACCGCCCACCCUGGGACUUGGACACGGCCCAGACUCCUACGGGAGGCAGCAGUGGGGAAUUUUGGACAAUGUGGGAAACCCUUAUCCAGCCGUCCCGCUUGUAUGAGAAGGCCUUCGGGUUGUAUAGUACUUUUGGCAGAGAAGCGGUGUCUGCAUAAUAAGCACCGGCUCACUACGUGCCAGCAGCCGCGGUAAUUC